CAGGACACCUGCAUAUUGGUUCUCGGAGGAGAGGAGGUGGGAGGGUAACAUGAUGUGAAAACCCUGUUAAAGGUGUUAAUGAGGAGAAAAAAUUAGGGAAGAAAAAAAACAUGAAGAGAUGAGGAUGGAAGAUGUAAAAAGAAGAGAAGAGAGGAGGAGGGAGGGCAACAUGACAUGAAAACCAUCUCACAUAAAAGAGAGAUGAUGAAAGAGGAGAGAAGAGGAGAGGUGAGGAGGUGGAGGGCAAUAUGAUGUGUCAACCCUCUCAUGUAAAAGGUAAA